UUAUUGAAAGUGUACGAGCCUUCGAUAGUCAACGACGCAGUAUCAUACUGUCGAUCGUUUUGUCUUUUCGCGUCAAAUUGAAAGCUUGGCAGAAAUAAAACAUUUGAGAAUGGUGAAAAUGAUACUGGCGUACGUGUGUAUCUACGUGUUCUUGUGCCUCAUUUUGUCAGAAACUAACGCUGAAAAAUAUGAACAGUUUGAAGAUCCUAAGUUGCUCUUGGCUCUAAAAAAAUUCAAUCAUCAGUCCAUGCCUACUCCUACGAGUGUCAUAGAUCCUGGUUGUAGGCCAUGUUACAAAAAAGAUUCACGAGGCAAAUGCCGCAAAGUCAUCGAUUGUCAGCCAUAAAGAAACCUGGAAUAAAUAAAUUCAUCGGAAUGUUACUACAAAUUGAUCGAUGCUAUUAUACACAUCUGCAUACGGCAGAGCAACAAUUUACCAACGUUUAUGUAUCAAAAACUACGAAUUUUAUUUAGAUCACAACUUCUCAUGAUUGUAAAAAUAAAGACUCGUUUAAGUAUGCAUUCUUUUAAA